UACACACCGCCCGUCACACCAUGGGAGUGGGUUGCAGAAGAAGUAGGUAGCUUAACCUUCGGGAGGGCGCUUACCACUUUGUGAUUCAUGACUGGGGUG
rnacentral:rRNA from 1 species